rnacentral:lncRNA from 1 species
GUUUCCGCGGGAAAGAAAAAGGCUACAAUGCGAAGGGUUUUUCUCUUAGUUCAGACAUGAUAUCGAAAUUCCCAACGGUGAGAAUUCUCGGAAUUGUGUUGCGAACAUGAUACUCAAAUUUCACGACGAUCCAACGGUGAACGGGUUCGAGAUCGUCGUUUUUCUGAGACUGGUUUGGUGGGCUGCGGGAAAAAGAAAGGGUUUUGAGAGGAGAAGGGGAAAAACGAAAAUGAGGCCAAAAGGAGGCAGCUAAGUUAACAUAACUAUUUAUACCUAGGGUACUCGAAGUUGAAAAAGUUAGCAUAAGUUAUUUUGUUUGAAGUUAAAAAAAUAAAAAUGGGAAGUUAGUAGAAGUUAUUUAUAAAAA